rnacentral:misc_RNA from 1 species
GAUGAAGAACGUAGCGAAAUGCGAUAAGUAAUGAGAAUUGCAGAAUUCAGUGGAUCAUCGAAUCUUUGAACGCACAUUGCGCCCCUUGGUAUUCCGAGGGGCAUGCCUGUUCGAGCGUCAUUUCAACCCUCAAGCUCUGCUUGGUCUUGGGCCUGGCCGUGAUGGCCGGUCUUAAAAUCAGUGGCGGUGCCGUCGCAGGCUCCAAGCGUAGUACAUCUCUCGCUCUGGAAACUUGGCGGUGCCUGCCAGACAACCCCUAAUUGUCUCUUUCGGUUGACCUCGGAUCAGGUAGGGAUACCCGCUGAACUUAAGCAUAUCAAUAAGCGGAGGA